rnacentral:rRNA from 1 species
GAUGAACGCUGGCGGCGUGCUUAACACAUGCAAGUCGAACGGAAAGGCCCAAGCUUGCUUGGGUACUCGAGUGGCGAACGGGUGAGUAACACGUGGGUGAUCUGCCCUGCACUUCGGGAUAAGCCUGGGAAACUGGGUCUAAUACCGGAUAGGACGAUGGUUUGGAUGCCAUUGUGGAAAGUUUUUUCGGUGUGGGAUGAGCUCGCGGCCUAUCAGCUUGUUGGUGGGGUAAUGGCCUACCAAGGCGUCGACGGGUAGCCGGCCUGAGAGGGUGUACGGCCACAUUGGGACUGGGAUACGGGCCAGACUCCUACGGGAGGCAGCAGUGGGGAAUAUUGCACAAUGGGCGCAAGCCUGAGGCAGCGACGCCGCGUGGGGGAUGACGGCCUUCGGGUUGUAAACUCCUUUGGCUAGGGACGAGGCGUUUUUGUGACGGUACCUGGAGAAGAAGCACCGGCUAACUACGUG